rnacentral:rRNA from 1 species
AUUGAACGCUGGCGGCAUGCCUUACACAUGCAAGUCGAACGGUAACGGGCCUUCGGGUGCCGACGAGUGGCGAACGGGUGAGUAAUACAUCGGAACGUGCCCGAUCGUGGGGGAUAACGAGGCGAAAGCUUUGCUAAUACCGCAUACGAUCUACGGAUGAAAGCAGGGGACCGCAAGGCCUUGCGCGGACGGAGCGGCCGAUGGCAGAUUAGGUAGUUGGUGGGAUAAAAGCUUACCAAGCCGACGAUCUGUAGCUGGUCUGAGAGGAUGAUCAGCCACACUGGGACUGAGACACGGCCCAGAAUCCUACGGGAGGCAGCAGUGGGGAAUUUUGGACAAAGGGCGCAAGCCUGAUCCAGCCAUGCCGCGUGCAGGAUGAAGGCCUUCGGGUUGUAAACUGCUUUUGUACGGAACGAAAAGCCUUCUUUUAAUACAGGAGGGUCAUGACGGUACCGUAAGAAUAAGCACCGGCUAACUACGUG